rnacentral:rRNA from 1 species
UCAGACGAUGCGUCAUGCAUAUCAAUAAGCGGAGGAAAAGAAACUAACAAGGAUUCCCCUAGUAACGGCGAGUGAAGCGGGAAGAGCUCAAAUUUGAAAUCUUAAAGGGUUUCCCUUUACGAAUUGUAGUUUAAAGAAGUGUUUUCUGUUGAGGUUUUGGUAAAAGUUCUUUGGAAUAGGACAUCAUAGAGGGUGAGAAUCCCGUAUUUGACCUUUACUUUCAACUUUGUGAUACGCUUUCAAAGAGUCGGGUUGUUUGGGAAUGCAGUCCAAAAUGGGUGGUAAAUUUCAUCUAAAGCUAAAUAUUGGCGAGAGACCGAUAGCGAACAAGUACCGUGAGGGAAAGAUGAAAAGAACUUUGAAAAGAGAGUUAAACAGUACGUGAAAUUGUCAAAAGGGAAGCGUUUGACACCAGUGUUGUUUUUCUGAAAAUCAAUUAAAGAACUGUUUAUGCUAAGCUGUUUAGACUUUAUCAGCUAACUGUUUAGUUUUGAGCUUUUCUUUAAUGCACUUUUCAGUUAACAAGUCAACAUCAAUUUCUUUUGCUGUAAAAAAGCUUGAGGAAGGUGGCUUGAGAUUCGUCUUAAGUGUUUAUAGCCUCUUGCCUAUGCAGUCGGAGAGAUUGAGGUCUGCAGCGUAGAUCCUUCGGGGCUAAAUGCAUUUGUGCUAAGUUAUAGCAUUUUAUAGACAACUUGUUGACUAUGAUUUGUCUUGUAGCUUACUCGCUUACGUUAUUUUACCUACGCUUAGGAUGUUGAGCGCAUGUCUCUCUCU